rnacentral:rRNA from 1 species
UACGAAGGGGGCUAGCGUUGCUCGGAAUCACUGGGCGUAAAGCGCACGUAGGCGGAUUGUUAAGUCAGGGGUGAAAUCCUGGAGCUCAACUCCAGAACUGCCUUUGAUACUGGCGAUCUUGAGUCCGGGAGAGGUGAGUGGAACUGCGAGUGUAGAGGUGAAAUUCGUAGAUAUUCGGAAGAACACCAGUGGCGAAGGCGGCUCACUGGCCCGGUACUGACGCUGACGGUGCGAAAGCGUGGGGAGCAAACAGGG